rnacentral:rRNA from 1 species
CCUACGGGAGGCAGCAGUAGGGAAUCUUCGUCAAUGGGCGCAAGCCUGAACGAGCGACGCCGCGUGAGUGAAGAAGGCCUUCGGGUCGUAAAGCUCUGUUGCGGGGGAAAAAAGGCAGCAUCAGGAACUGGGUGCUGACUGAUGGUGCCCCGCCAGAAAGUCACGGCUAACUACGUGCCAGCAGCCGCGGUAAUACGUAGGUGGCGAGCGUUAUCCGGAAUGAUUGGGCGUAAAGGGUGCGCAGGCGGUCCUUCAAGUCUGGAGUGAAACGCAUGGGCUCAACUCAUGCAUGGCAUUGGAAACUGGAGGACUGGAGAGCAGGAGAGGGCAGUGGAAUUCCAUGUGUAGCGGUUAAAUGCGUAGAUAUAUGGAGGAACACCAGUGGCGAAGGCGGCUCCCUGGCCUGUUGCUGACGCUGAGGCACGAAAGCGUGGGGAGCAAAUAGGAUUAGAUACCCGGGUAGUC